GCAGACCAUCCUACGGGAGGCAGCAGUGGGGAAUAUUGCACAAUGGGCGCAAGCCUGAUGCAGCCAUGCCGCGUGUAUGAAGAAGGCCUUCGGGUUGUAAAGUACUUUCAGCAGUGAGGAAGGUGGGUAUGUUAAUAGCAUACUCAUUUGACGUUAGCUGCAGAAGAAGCACCGGCUAACUCCGUGCCAGCAGCCGCGGUAAUACGGAGGGUGCGAGCGUUAAUCGGAAUUACUGGGCGUAAAGCGCAUGCAGGUGGUUUGUUAAGUCAGAUGUGAAAGCCCGGGGCUCAACCUCGGAAUUGCAUUUGAAACUGGCAAACUAGAGUACUGUAGAGGGGGUAGAAUUUCAGGUGUAGCGGUGAAAUGCGUAGAGAUCUGAAGGAAUACCGGUGGCGAAGGCGGCCCCCUGGACAGAUACUGACACUCAGAUGCGAAAGCGUGGGGAGCAAACAGGAUUAGAUACCCUGGUAG
rnacentral:rRNA from 1 species